rnacentral:rRNA from 2 species
UUAAGCGACUAAGCGUACACGGUGGAUGCCCUGGCAGUCAGAGGCGAUGAAGGACGUGCUAAUCUGCGAAAAGCGUCGGUAAGGUGAUAUGAACCGUUAUAACCGGCGAUGUCCGAAUGGGGAAACCCAGUGCAAUUCGUUGCACUAUCGUUAACUGAAUACAUAGGUUAACGAGGCGAACCGGGGGAACUGAAACAUCUAAGUACCCCGAGGAAAAGAAAUCAACCGAGAUUCCCCCAGUAGCGGCGAGCGAACGGGGAGCAGCCCAGAGUCUGAAUCAGCUUGUGUGUUAGUGGAACGGUCUGGAAAGUCCGACGGUACAGGGUGAUAGUCCCGUACACCAAAAUGCACAGGCUGUGAACUCGAAGAGUAGGGCGGGACACGUGGUAUCCUGUCUGAAUAUGGGGGGACCAUCCUCCAAGGCUAAAUACUCCUGACUGACCGAUAGUGAACCAGUACCGUGAGGGAAAGGCGAAAAGAACCCCGGCGAGGGGAGUGAAAAAGAACCUGAAACCGUGUACGUACAAGCAGUGGGAGCACCUUCGGGUGUGACUGCGUACCUUUUGUAUAAUGGGUCAGCGACUUAUAUUCUGUAGCAAGGUUAACCGUAUAGGGGAGCCGCAGGGAAACCGAGUCUUAACUGGGCGUUAAGUUGCAGGGUAUAGACCCGAAACCCGGUGAUCUAGCCAUGGGCAGGUUGAAGGUUGGGUAACACUAACUGGAGGACCGAACCGACUAAUGUUGAAAAAUUAGCGGAUGACUUGUGGCUGGGGGUGAAAGGCCAAUCAAACCGGGAGAUAGCUGGUUCUCCCCGAAAGCUAUUUAGGUAGCGCCUCGUGAACUCAUCUUCGGGGGUAGAGCACUGUUUCGGCUAGGGGGUCAUCCCGACUUACCAACCCGAUGCAAACUACGAAUACCGAAGAAUGUUAUCACGGGAGACACACGGCGGGUGCUAACGUCCGUCGUGAAGAGGGAAACAACCCAGACCGCCAGCUAAGGUCCCAAAGUCAUGGUUAAGUGGGAAACGAUGUGGGAAGGCACAGACAGCCAGGAUGUUGGCUUAGAAGCAGCCAUCAUUUAAAGAAAGCGUAAUAGCUCACUGGUCGAGUCGGCCUGCGCGGAAGAUGUAACGGGGCUAAACCAUGCACCGAAGCUGCGGCAGCGACACUAUGUGUUGUUGGGUAGGGGAGCGUUCUGUAAGCCUGCGAAGGUGUGCUGUGAGGCAUGCUGGAGGUAUCAGAAGUGCGAAUGCUGACAUAAGUAACGAUAAAGCGGGUGAAAAGCCCGCUCGCCGGAAGACCAAGGGUUCCUGUCCAACGUUAAUCGGGGCAGGGUGAGUCGACCCCUAAGGCGAGGCCGAAAGGCGUAGUCGAUGGGAAACAGGUUAAUAUUCCUGUACUUGGUGUUACUGCGAAGGGGGGACGGAGAAGGCUAUGUUAGCCGGGCGACGGUUGUCCCGGUUUAAGCAUGUAGGCUGAUUGUCCAGGCAAAUCCGGAUAAUCAAGGCUGAGGUGUGAUGACGAGGCACUACGGUGCUGAAGUAACAAAUGCCCUGCUUCCAGGAAAAGCCUCUAAGCAUCAGGUAACAUCAAAUCGUACCCCAAACCGACACAGGUGGUCAGGUAGAGAAUACCAAGGCGCUUGAGAGAACUCGGGUGAAGGAACUAGGCAAAAUGGUGCCGUAACUUCGGGAGAAGGCACGCUGGUGUGUAGGUGAAGUCCCUGCGGAUGGAGCUGAGACCAGUCGAAGAUACCAGCUGGCUGCAACUGUUUAUUAAAAACACAGCACUGUGCAAACACGAAAGUGGACGUAUACGGUGUGACGCCUGCCCGGUGCCGGAAGGUUAAUUGAUGGGGUUAUCCGUAAGGAGAAGCUCUUGAUCGAAGCCCCGGUAAACGGCGGCCGUAACUAUAACGGUCCUAAGGUAGCGAAAUUCCUUGUCGGGUAAGUUCCGACCUGCACGAAUGGCGUAAUGAUGGCCAGGCUGUCUCCACCCGAGACUCAGUGAAAUUGAACUCGCUGUGAAGAUGCAGUGUACCCGCGGCAAGACGGAAAGACCCCGUGAACCUUUACUAUAGCUUGACACUGAACAUUGAGCCUUGAUGUGUAGGAUAGGUGGGAGGCUUUGAAGCGUGGACGCCAGUCUGCGUGGAGCCAACCUUGAAAUACCACCCUUUAAUGUUUGAUGUUCUAACGUUGGCCCCUGACCGGGGUUGCGGACAGUGUCUGGUGGGUAGUUUGACUGGGGCGGUCUCCUCCCAAAGCGUAACGGAGGAGCACGAAGGUUAGCUAAUCCUGGUCGGACAUCAGGAGGUUAGUGCAAUGGCAUAAGCUAGCUUGACUGCGAGCGUGACGGCGCGAGCAGGUGCGAAAGCAGGUCAUAGUGAUCCGGUGGUUCUGAAUGGAAGGGCCAUCGCUCAACGGAUAAAAGGUACUCCGGGGAUAACAGGCUGAUACCGCCCAAGAGUUCAUAUCGACGGCGGUGUUUGGCACCUCGAUGUCGGCUCAUCACAUCCUGGGGCUGAAGUAGGUCCCAAGGGUAUGGCUGUUCGCCAUUUAAAGUGGUACGCGAGCUGGGUUUAGAACGUCGUGAGACAGUUCGGUCCCUAUCUGCCGUGGGCGCUGGAGAAUUGAGGGGGGCUGCUCCUAGUACGAGAGGACCGGAGUGGACGCAUCACUGGUGUUCGGGUUGUCAUGCCAAUGGCACUGCCCGGUAGCUAAAUGCGGAAGAGAUAAGUGCUGAAAGCAUCUAAGCACGAAACUUGCCCCGAGAUGAGUUCUCCCUGAGACUUUAAGUCUCCUGAAGGAACGUUGAAGACGACGACGUUGAUAGGCCGGGUGUGUAAGCGCAGCGAUGCGUUGAGCUAACCGGUACUAAUGAACCGUGAGGCUUAACCUU